GCCGUUCCUAAGCUAUCUUGUAGUAUUGCCCUGAUGACAGACAGUCAGUAUACAUGUCUUCAAAUAUCACUUUAUUGUUUAAAUCAUUAAAAUAAUUAUCUUAUUAUAUUAUCUGUCUAGUUUUACCUGCAUGUUCUCUUUUCUUCAAAGUUACGUAACAGUUUAAAAUUUCACACUUUUCACUGACAUUUCAAGUCAGUUUGAUAAGUAGUUUUAAUAGUUUUUACGAUCCAUUUUAUUUUUUAUGUUGCACUGGCACCCACUUGUAGUUCAGAUUCCAGAACAGUAAAAUAUGCAAUCAUAUGAUAGAUAAAAUAAACAAACAAAUCUUUAAUUUCAAAGUUGU
rnacentral:lncRNA from 1 species